rnacentral:tRNA from 1 species
AGUCUGCCGCCUUAGACCACUCGGCCAACCCUCC